rnacentral:rRNA from 1 species
UACGUAGGUGGCAAGCGUUGUCCGGAUUUACUGGGCGUAAAGGGCGUGCAGGCGGUUUGUUAAGUGCAGAGUGAAAGCUCCCGGCUCAACUGGGAGAGGUCUUUGCAUACUGGCAAACUCGAGGGAGGCAGAGGAAAGUGGAAUUCCCGGUGUAGUGGUGAUAUGCGUAGAUAUCGGGAGGAACACCUGUGGCGAAGGCGGCUUUCUGGGCCGAUACUGACGCUGAGGAGCGAAAGCGUGGGGAGCGAACAGG